GAUGAACGCUGGCGGCGUGCCUAAUACAUGCAAGUCGAGCGAACAGACGAGGAGCUUGCUCCUCUGACGUUAGCGGCGGACGGGUGAGUAACACGUGGAUAACCUACCUAUAAGACUGGGAUAACUUCGGGAAACCGGAGCUAAUACCGGAUAAUAUAUUGAACCGCAUGGUUCAAUAGUGAAAUACGGUUUUGCUGUCACUUAUAGAUGGAUCCGCGCCGCAUUAGCUAGUUGGUAAGGUAACGGCUUACCAGGGCGACGAUGCGUAGCCGACCUGAGAGGGGGAACGGGCACAGAGGAGCUGAGACACGGGCCAGAGUCCGAGGGAAGGCAGCGGUAGGGAAUCGUACGAAAUGGGGGAAAGCCUGACGAAGCAACGGCGGGGGAGUGAUGAAGGUCUGCGGAUGGUAAAACGCUGUUAUUAGGGAAAAACGAAUGUGUAAGUAACUAUGCGCGAGUGAACGGAAUCUAAACAGAAGGCCACGGCUAACUAGGU
rnacentral:rRNA from 1 species